CCGAAUAUUGGCCAAUUUUACAGUUGCCUGUUACUACCUCAAUUGCAUGGACGUACGGCAGAUUUGUGCUAUUAAACGUAUCCUCUAAAAAGUAUUUUAAGGCACAGGAACCACACUCAACGCUCAAUAAUGUUUGACAAUGCGAUAAGACCACAUCCAGAGGGCAAUGGAGGCCAACUUAAUACAGGAGAUCGGGCGAUAACUACUGUCAUCAACAUUGAACCAGAAACUGAAAGUCGAAUUGGAAUCUUCGCCUCACAACCAGAAAAGCAACAACAACCAGAGCAACUUCAAUCCGAAUCCGACAGAAUGGCCAAUUUCGACGAUACGUUGCAACGCGCUCGACUCGCCUUUUCCAGUGGAAAGACCAGGAACGUCAGCUUUCGACGCAAGCAGCUGGAGAAUCUGCUGCGUUGCUAUGAGGAGCACGAGAACGAGAUCAUCAGCGCCUUGGAGGCGGAUCUGCGGCGCCCCAAACAGGAGAGUCUCAUCGUUGAGACCGAGUUCAUGAAGAACGACAUCAAACACAUUCUCUUCCACCUCGACGAGUGGGUGGAAUCGGCGAAGCCCAGCAAGCCGUUUGUGAACCUGAUGGACGAUGUCCAGAUCUACAACGAUCCCUUCGGCGUUGUCCUGGUGAUCGGCGCCUGGAACUACCCUCUGCAGCUGCUCCUCGUGCCCGUGGCCUCCGCCAUCGCCGCCGGAAACUGCGUGGUGAUCAAGCCCAGCGAGAUCGCCGCCAACUGCGCCAAGUUCAUUGCCGAUGUCAUUCCAAAGUAUUUGGAUAAUGACUGUUAUCCCGUUGUCUGCGGGGGGCCCAGCGAAACCGCUGAGCUGCUUAACCAGCGCUUCGACUACAUUUUUUAUACGGGAUCAACACGCGUUGGCAAGAUCAUCCACGCUGCGGCCAACAAGCACUUGACUCCGACCACCUUGGAACUGGGUGGCAAAAGUCCUUGCUACAUUGACAAGUCCGUGGAGCUGCGCACUGCGGUGAAGCGCAUUCUGUGGGGCAAGUUGAUCAACUGCGGACAGACCUGCAUCGCCCCCGACUACAUUCUCUGCUCCAAGGAGGUGCAGGAGAAGUUCAUCGCGGAGGCCAAGGACGUGCUGAAGGAGUGGUAUGGCGAGAACAUCCAGAGCAGUCCGGAUCUUAGUCGCGUGAUCAAUGCCAACAAUUUCCAACGCCUUCUCGGACUGAUGAAGUCUGGCCGCGUGGCCGUUGGCGGAAAUUACGAUGCCAGCGAGCGCUACAUCGAACCCACUAUUUUGGUGGACGUAAAGGAAACCGAUCCCAUCAUGGAGGAGGAGAUCUUCGGCCCCAUCUUGCCCAUUUUCAAUGUGGAGAGCGCCUACGAUGCCAUCAAGUUCAUCAAUUCCAGAGAAAAACCCCUUGUUAUUUACGUGUUCUCCAACUCGAAUAAGCUAGUCAGAGAGUUCAGGACCAACACCACUAGCGGCGGAUUCUGCAGCAACGAAACAAUAAUGCACUGUGGAGUUGAUGUGCUGCCAUUCGGAGGCGUUGGCAUGAGUGGAAUGGGUUGCUAUCACGGAAAGUAUGGCUUCGAAACCUUCACACACAAAAAGUCUUGCCUGGGCAAGGAUUUGUCAGCCUUUGGCGAGAAGUUGGCAUCAGCACGUUAUCCACCGUACUCGGAUCGCAAGGGAUCGCUGCUGUCCUUCCUCCUGCGCAAGCGCCGUCCGUUGCCAAAUCUGCACCUGAGCCACGUGGUGGCCAUUGGAGUGGGCGUCGGAUUGACGGUCCUGGCCAACUACUACAUGCAGGUAAGGAAGGGCAAAUUGCUGUCGCGUUAGACACGAUGAAGGACCCCAGAGUUAAAUGCAGCCUGCGCCGCUGGACCGUUACCAUUUACUUAUGGAAUUGUUUGCAAUAAAUAAAAGCUCAACUGAUUAAAACCCAAAAACUUUUUUACUUUUUAUACGCAUAUCGGUGGGUGAUGUAAAGCUUUGGAUACUUCGUUAUACAUAUAGUUAUUGUUAUUUAGUUGCUAUUUAAUACAAAUGUGAAUGCUCUAAUGUAAUAUAUGACCAAUAAAAAAUAUUAAAUUACUAUGACAUAUA